rnacentral:rRNA from 1 species
GGCUGUCGUCAGCUCGUGUCGUGAGAUGUUGGGUUAAGUCCCGCAACGAGCGCAACCCACGUCUUUAGUUGCCAGCAUUUAGUUGGGCACUCUAGAGAGACCGCCGGUGAUAAACCGGAGGAAGGUGUGGAUGACGUCAAGUCAUCAUGCCCCUUACAUCCUGGGCUACACACGUACUACAAUGCUACGGACAAAGGGCAGCAAACUCGCGAGAGCUAGCAAAUCCCAUAAACCGUGGCUCAGUUCAGAUCGUAGGCCGCAACUCGCCUACGUGAAGGAGGAAUCGCUAGUAAUCGCAGGUCAGCAUACUGCGGUGAAUACGUUCCCGGGCCUUGUACACACCGCCCGUCACACCAUGGAAGUUGGCCACGCCCGAAGUCGUUACUCCAACCCUUGUGGAGGAGGAUGCCGAAGGUGGGGCUGAUGACUGGGGUGAAGUCGUAACAAGGUAGCCGUACCGGAAGGUGCGGCUGGAUCACCUCCUAA